AGGAUGAUGGUAUUUUCAAGAAAA
rnacentral:siRNA from 1 species